rnacentral:rRNA from 1 species
AAACGACUCUCGGCAACGGAUAUCUCGGCUCUCGCAUCGAUGAAGAACGUAGCGAAAUGCGAUACUUGGUGUGAAUUGCAGAAUCCCGUGAAUCAUCGAGUCUUUGAACGCAAGUUGCGCCUGAAGCCUUUUGGCCGAGGGCACGUCUGCCUGGGUGUCACGC